CCUCUUCCUUUUUCUUUUUUCUGUCUUUGUACGACUGAACCAUACUUUGGGAUACUUCUUAAUAGUGACAAAUGGUAUACUGGCUGCUAUUGAAAUGAGAUAGUAGUAAGUCUGGACGCCAACGCAGCUUAAGCCAAAUUGUUAAUUAGUUUUUGACCCCUCAACAAAUUAAAGAAGUAAUUAGUGUAUUUGUGAUUAUCUAUAGUUUUAAUAGUAUUUCCAAAGAUAAAUUAAUUUUAAUAACUGGGUAGUAAAAUUAGGUCUGAUUGCAUUCUACACGUGACAUAUAACGAUGAUUUGACGCUCACAACAUUGUUGUACUAUAUAAUAAGCUUCAAAUAUCAGAUGUUAGAGUGUCGAUGUUUGGUAUUUCUGAACUAUUUCCAUCAAAUUUUGAUGCAUUUUUCCGGUACUUAUGCGGAGUAGUUGACCAUCUCCGAUGUUCGGUAUUACUGAACUAUUUCCAUCAAAUGUUGAUGCAUUUUUUCGAUACUUAUGCGGAGUAGUUGACCAUCUCCGUCCUGUCAUAUCUUGUUAGCCUAGGUAAGUCAGUUAUUAUUUUGAAGGUAGUCUAUAGUAUACUAUUUUUUCAUGUACUUAUGAUUAUAUGUAAUGCAUAAAAGGCAGUAUCAUCCAUCUAGUUCACUGGGAUUGAGAUGUCCUCUACCCUAGCUAAUGUUCAAGCCAACACCCAUCUACUUCAUAUGUAUGCAAGUAGCGGCGCAUGCUCUUUUUAAUAAAUCUUUGUUUCUGUCUGACCAAUUCCUUUGGUUUGUACUACAUGGACCACUCUUAUGUAAGAAAUUCCCAAAUAGACAAUGGAUAAUGGUACAUUAAAGUAAAGAAUCGAUAAUGUAUACUUAGUUGAGUGAAAUCGGUUCUGGCUCUCCAUGUUUGAUGCGGUGAAGCAGAAUAUGUGUAAAGCACUACCGAGUUUUGCUAUCCUGGCCUGGCAAUUUAGUCCUGCUGUACAAUGGAGAUUCCAACGGUCAUAGUCCAUGGAUGCUGCUAGUCAGUAGGUUAAUAGCAUGACCCCCUUUAAAUAUAGUUUUAUUUGUUUAUUAGCAACUUCUUUCCUUUCUUUAUUAUAGUUUGAGCACUUCUUUAGAUAGCAAAUUCUUUGAUCUCAUUUAUUUGUUGUUUCUACCAAGUGUUUGUCCUCAUGUUUGUAAUCAUUCAUUGAAUAUUAGGAGCAAAAAAGUGAAAAAUCCGAGUAGUAGAGGUGCAGGUCUAUCAUAAGGAUGUGUUCAUUUUCAGGAAUGAUUAUGCGGAUCAUACAUGUUACGGAUCUACAUCUUCAAUUGAGUGCAAAGGGAUUAGAAGAUGCUUAUGGGACAACUGUGAAUGUUGACGGGAAAUAGCUAUUUCAAAGUUUGAUUAAGAAAGUCACAGUAAUCAAAAUCUUAGGUGGAAAAUUCUAUUGGCUGAGAUGUCCAUGGACAGUAAUGGCCAGGAACCAAUAUUUUAUUGUCUGAUGGUUAUUCUCCUUUCAUGUACGUUGCAUGUGACAAAAGAAUCAACUUGAUGAUGCUUAUGUAUAUUUUGGCAUCAAAUAUCAACUUCUAUGUGUGUUGUUAAUUGAUGAAUAGAACAAUUAUGGUAACA